UAAGUGAUUCUCUUGCCUCAGCCUCCCACGUAGCUGGGAUUAUAGGCAAGCACCACCAUACUUGGCUAAUUUUUGUAUUUUUAAUAGGGACAGGGUUUCAUCAUGUUGGCCAGGAUGGUCUGGAACUCCUGACCUCAAGUGAUCCACCCACCUCGGCCUCCCAAAGUGCUGGGAUUACAGGCAUGAGCCACUGUUCCCAGCCUAGACCGGGGUUCUCUAGGCCAGGCAAAAGGGGGUGGUUAGAUAUUGGUUAUGUAACUAAUAGUGACACCUCAUUAAUAUUACAGGUUACUCUAGAACUGCCCAGUGUCAUUAAUUGGUUGACCCUGAGAGUAGGGAGUACAUACAAGCCGGAAGUUCUCCAAGACUGAACUAAAGGUUUGGGGCCAGACUAUGACUUGGAGAUAAUGAGGCAGGAGAAUCACCUGAAUUGGGAGGUGGAGGUUGCAGUGAGCAGAGAUUGCACCACUGCACUUCUCCAGCCUUGGCAACAGAAUGAGACUCCAUUUCAAAAAAAGAAAAAGAAAAAUCAGCACUGUUCUGUGCCGGAAAAGCCCCAUUCCCGCCCUGGCCUAACCAUGGACGGGCCCUUGUCCCAGCCAGUUAAUUCUCUAUGCCUCA
rnacentral:lncRNA from 1 species